AGCGAACGCUGGCGGCAGGCCUAACACAUGCAAGUCGAACGAACCUUUCGGGGUUAGUGGCGGACGGGUGAGUAACACGUGGGAACGUGCCUUUAGGUUCGGAAUAACUCAGGGAAACUUGUGCUAAUACCGAAUGUGCCCUUCGGGGGAAAGAUUUAUCGCCUUUAGAGCGGCCCGCGUCUGAUUAGCUAGUUGGUUGAGGUAAUGGCUCACCAAGGCGACGAUCAGUAGCUGGUAUGAGAGGAUGAUCAGCCACAUUGGGACUGAGACACGGCCCAAACUCCUACGGGAGGCAGCAGUGGGGAAUCUUGCGCAAUGGGCGAAAGCCUGACGCAGCCAUGCCGCGUGAAUGAUGAAGGUCUUAGGAUUGUAAAAUUCUUUCACCGGGGACGAUAAUGACGGUACCCGGAGAAGAAGCCCCGGCUAACUUCGUG
rnacentral:rRNA from 1 species